AUUGAACGCUGGCGGCAGGCCUAACACAUGCAAGUCGAACGAGUGGUGGACGGGUGAGUAAUGUCUGGGAAACUGCCUGAUGGAGGGGGAUAACUACUGGAAACGGUAGCUAAUACCGCAUACCAUCAGAUGUGCCCACAUGGGAUUAGCUAGGUGGUGGGGUAACGGCUAACCAAGGCGACGAUCCCUAGCUGGUCUGCGAGGAUGACAAGCAACACUGGAACUGAGACACGGUCCAGACUCCUACGGGAGGAAGCAGUGGGGAGUAUUGCACAAUGGGCGCAAGCCUGAUGCAGCCAGGCCGCGUGUAUGAAGAAGGCCUGCGGGUUGUAAAGUACUUUCAGCGGGGAGGCGUUACCCGCAGAAGAAGCACCGGCUAACUCCGUGCCAGCAGCCGCGGUAAUAC
rnacentral:rRNA from 1 species